UACGGAGGGCGCGAGCGUUACCCGGAUUUACUGGGCGUAAAGGGCGUGUAGGCGGCCUGGGGCGUCCCAUGUGAAAGGCCACGGCUCAACCGUGGAGGAGCGUGGGAUACGCUCAGGCUAGACGGUGGGAGAGGGUGGUGGAAUUCCCGGAGUAGCGGUGAAAUGCGCAGAUACCGGGAGGAACGCCGAUGGCGAAGGCAGCCACCUGGCUCACUUGUGACACUGAGGAGCGAAAGCGUGGGGAGCAAACCGG
rnacentral:rRNA from 1 species